rnacentral:tRNA from 1 species
GGAGAGGUGGCCGAGUGGCUGAAGGCGCACGCUUGGAAAGCGUGUGUACCUGCAAAGGUACCGCGGGUUCGAAUCCCGCCCUCUCCG